rnacentral:lncRNA from 1 species
AUGGCUGCAGGGCUCUCCCUUCACAUGCUCGCCCCCACCCUGUGUUUUUCAGAAGUAAUUCUGCUUUGGCUCUCAAAGUGGUUUGUGUUGAAGCAGAUUGAAAAGUUUCGUGCCCUCUCUAUUAUUGGUAGUGCAAACAUUAAGCAAAAUUGCAUCCAGCUGCUCCCACAGCAAAUCCUGCUGCUCAGCUACUGCUGCAGGACAGGGCCAGCUGAAUGCACAUGCACAGAGCCAGGUGGGGACUGCAGCUCUCCAGAGGUGAGAGACAAACUCCUGGUGCUCACACACGUGACCUCAAGGUAUUCCCCAAGUGUCAGUUUGGUUCUUGACAUCCAAAAAUAUGCACGUAUAUUGGGCUUCUGGAUGUUCUCUAAACACAUCUCAGUGCAUCAGCACUUUAAAAGCAGGAUUAUGGCAGCCCUCUGUUCACGUCUGGCUAGAAGGACCAUGAGCAGAACGUUUGCAUUAGCCAUAGACAGAUCAUCUGGGCAGAAAACCCCUCGUGGCCCCAGCAAUACUCAGAGCAGGGGAUGGGGCACUGCCAGUGCUGCUGGCCCCGCAAUGCAGAGCGCUCAGGAGCCGCUUCAGCAGAGUCUGCGUGGUGUCUGUCCGCAGCUCCUGCUUCCUGCCAUCAGACCUGGGGUAAAGCUCCCCCACACACCUACAGCAAGCAAUUUAAUGCUAAAUAUAGGAGCGCAACCCACAGGCCAGACAAGAAAGAUUUCAAUACCUCGGCCAGGAACAACAACAAACUGCACUGCCUCUUACUUCCAGUGGUGGGUAAGCGCGGAUGCCACAGCAGCAGGCAAAGAGCCGUCUCACUGUCAUCCCUGGGUGCCAAAUUACACACCGAGGACAGAAGAACACCUGGCUUCCUACAGCGUGUGGUUUUGCUCACAGAUCCCCAUCGCCCGAGCACAGACCAGCACAUCCUCACCACACCGGUGCCUGCAGCAGUUGCAGCAAAGGGAACCGGGAGGCGUCCCAGCGGUACAACCCUGGGCUGAGCUUCAGGGCCAAGGAUGGAUGCUCCUGCGUGUGCUCCCUCCCUGGGAGGGGAUGCUUUUGGACACAGGUGUGACACUUGGGCCUGUGGUGGCCCAGCAGGAGGGCACUGGAGUCUGCACCUGGUAA